rnacentral:rRNA from 1 species
UACAGAGGGGGCGAGCGUUGUUCGGAAUUACUGGGCGUAAAGGGCGCGUAGGCGGCCUGCUAAGUCGGACGUGAAAUCCCUCGGCUCAACCGGGGAACUGCGUCCGAUACUGGCGGGCUUGAAUCCGGGAGAGGAAUGGGGAAUUCCAGGGUGUAGCGGUGAAAUGCGUAGAUAUCUGGAGGAACACCGGUGGCGAAGGCGGCAUUCUGGACCGGCAU